UAAAAAGAACUGUUUCAGCCCUUACGCAAAAGAAACCCUUCGAUAGUCUCUCCGCAGCCGUAAGUUUACUUUCCACCGAUUGCUCUUCCGCUUCUCACAAGUUCCUUCUCCAUCAGUUGCCUCACCUACUUCUUAAAAAUUCGUUCUCCACCGAUUUCUUCUCACAUGUUAUCCUCUGCAAUAAGGUAAGCUUCGAGUGAACGAUGAGUUUGGUUUAGUUGACACUUGCAGGAUUUAAAGUCCAUGGUUUAGUGGACAAGAAGAAAAUUUAAGUUCUCAAUCUUCCUCAGAUUUCUCAGUACUAGAUGUUUAGAGGACUUGGCAAACACCACAUAAUAUGCCUCUGCUACACAAUAAACCAAUAAGAUAAGGUAAGACAUGUUGUAUUUUAUAUGACCUCAACUCCUAAUUGGAAAAUAAAGUUAGACUAGGAUAAGAUUUUUUCAAAUUCCAAUUGUUUUCAUGUUGGAUAAAUGGAGUGGCAUGGACAAGAAAAUGGUCAAGGAUUACAUAUUAUAUUCCAAAUUUGUGAAAAUAAUGUCUCAAUGGGUGAUGUAAAGUUAUAUUUUGUUGUAUGAACUACUUUGUUGUAUAGACCUGUUGUGUGGAAUUUUUUUUUUUGUUAAUAAAGCUAGAAAUGGAGCAAUUUUUUAUCUUAUUGAUUUUCUGCCGUUUGUUGAUUUAGGGAAAUUUUGAUGGUAUUGAUGUAAGAA